GGAUAACUACCCUUUAGGACUGGGAUAACCCUGGGAAACUGGGGAUAAUACCGGAUAGGCAAUUUUUCCUGUAAUGGUUUUUUGUUUAAAUGUUUUUUUCGCCUAAGGAUGGGUCUGCGGCCGAUUAGGUAGUUGGUUAGGUAAUGGCUUACCAAGCCGUUGAUCGGUACGGGUUGUGAGAGCAAGAGCCCGGAGAUGGAACCUGAGACAAGGUUCCAGGCCCUACGGGGUGCAGCAGGCGCGAAACCUCCGCAAUGUGAGAAAUCGCGACGGGGGGAUCCCAAGUGCCAUUCUUAACGGGAUGGCUUUUCAUUAGUGUAAAGAGCUUUUGGAAUAAGGGCUGGGCAAGACCGGUGCCAGCCGCCGCGGUAACACCGGCAGCUCUAGUGGUAGCAGUUUUUAUUGGGCCUAAAGCGUCCGUAGCCGGUUUAAUAAGUCUCUGGUGAAAUCCUGUAGCUUAACUGUGGGAAUUGCUGGAGAUACUAUUAGACUUGAGACCGGGAGAGGUUAGAGGUACUCCCAGGGUAGAGGUGAAAUUCUGUAAUCCUGGGAGGACCGCCUGUUGCGAAGGCGUCUAACUGGAACGGUUCUGACGGUGAGGGACGAAAGUUAGGGGCGCGAACCGGAUUAGAUACCCGGGUAGUCCUAACUGUAAACGAUGCGGACUUGGUGUUGGGGUGGCUUUGAGCUGCUUCAGUGCCGAAGGGAAGCUGUUAAGUCCGCCGCCUGGGAAGUACGGUCGCAAGACUGAAACUUA
rnacentral:rRNA from 1 species